CGCGUAGGCGGGCCUUCAAGUCGGAUGUGAAAACCCCGGGCUUAACUCGGGGCCUGCAUUCGAAACUGAAGGUCUUGAGUACAGGAGAGGAAAGUGGAAUUCCAGGUGUAGCGGUGAAAUGCGUAGAUAUCUGGAAGAACACCAGUAGCGAAGGCGGCUUUCUGGACUGAUACUGACGCUAAAGCGCGAAGGCUUGGGGAGCAAACA
rnacentral:rRNA from 1 species